CCUACGGGUGGCAGCAGUGAGGAAUAUUGGUCAAUGGACGAGAGUCUGAACCAGCCAAGUAGCGUGAAGGAUGACUGCCCUAUGGGUUGUAAACUUCUUUUAUAUGGGAAUAAAAUGUUCCACGUGUGGGAUUUUGUAUGUACCAUAUGAAUAAGGAUCGGCUAACUCCGUGCCAGCAGCCGCGGUAAUACGGAGGAUCCGAGCGUUAUCCGGAUUUAUUGGGUGUAAAGGGAGCGUAGGUGGAUUGUUAAGUCAGUUGUGAAAGUUUGCGGCUCAACCGUAAAAUUGCAGUUGAAACUGGCAGUCUUGAGUACAGUAGAGGUGAGCGGAAUUCGUGGUGUAGCGGUGAAAUGCUUAGAUAUCACGAAGAACUCCGAUUGCGAAGGCAGUUCACUGGACUGCAACUGACACUGAGGCUCGAAAGUGUGGGUAUCAAACAGGAUUAGAUACCCUGGUAGUC
rnacentral:rRNA from 1 species